rnacentral:snRNA from 1 species
AUCGCUUCUCGGCCUUUUGGCUAAGAUCAAGUGUAGUAUCUGUUCUUAUCAGUUUAAUAUCUGAUACGUCCCCUACCUGGGGAUCAUAUAUUAAAUAGAUUUUUGGAACAGGGAGAUGGAAUAGGGGCUUGCUCCGUCCACUCCACGCAUCGACCUGGUAUUGCAGUAUCUCCAGGAACGGUGCACUCCCU